AUGACCUCAAAUCAGGUAGGGAUACCCGCUGAACUUAAGCAUAUCAAUAAGCGGAGGAAAAGAAACCAACAGGGAUUGCCUUAGUAACGGCGAGUGAAGCGGCAAAAGCUCAGAUUUGAAAUCUGGUGUUAUUUCAACACCCGAAUUGUAAUCUGUAGAGGAGUUUUCGGAGUAUGACUUUGGUUAAAGUUCCUUGGAAAAGGGCAUCAUAGAGGGUGAGAAUCCUGUUUAUGACCAUAGUACUUCUCUAUAUGAAUCUCCUUCAAUGAGUCGAGUUGUUUGGGAAUGCAGCUCUAAAUGGGUGGUAAAUUCCAUCUAAAGCUAAAUAUUGGCAAGAGACCGAUAGCGCACAAGUAGAGUGAUCGAAAGAUGAAAAGAACUCUGAACAGAGAGUUAAAGAGUACGUGAAAUUGUUGAAAGGGAAGCACUUGUGACCAGACAAAUUUGCAAUUAAUCAGCCAUCAAUUUUGGUGGUGCACUUGAUUGUAAGUGGGUCAGCAUCAGUUAUAAUAGUGGGACAAAGACCUAAAGAAUGUGGCUCCUUUUUUUGAGGAGUGUUAUAGCUUUUGGUUUAAUACUGCUUGCUAUGACUGAGGAUAGCACUUCGUGUAAGGAUGCUGACAUAAUGGUCAUAAGUGACCCGUCUU
rnacentral:rRNA from 1 species